ACACGUAUUGAGGAAAGAAUAUUGGGUACCCGCAACCUGGAGCUCCUGAAGAAUUUUGUGUUCCACAGACUCGGAAGAAAAAUUGGGCGGGGAUUCAUCCUCUAAUUGCCAAGUUUCCGAGGUAGUGGAAAACACGAGUUGGGACAUGGACAGCCGCUUGCAGGAGAUCCGGGAGCGGCAGAAGUUACGGCGACAGCUUCUUGCGCAGCAGUUGGGAGCUGAAAGUGCUGACAGCAUUGGUGCUGUGUUAAAUAGCAAAGAUGAGCAGAGAGAAAUUGCUGAAACAAGAGAAACUUGCAGGGCUUCCUAUGAUACCGCUGCUCCAAAUGCAAAACGUAAGUAUCAGGAUGAAGGAGAGACAGAUGAAGACAAAAUGGAAGAAUAUAAGGAUGAAUUAGAAAUGCAACAGGAGGAAGAGAAUUUGCCAUAUGAAGAAGAGAUUUACAAAGAUUCUAGUACUUUUCUUAAGGGAACACAGAGUUUAAAUCCCCAUAAUGAUUACUGCCAACACUUUGUAGACACUGGACAUAGACCUCAAAAUUUCAUCAGAGAUGUAGGUUUGGCCGACAGAUUUGAAGAAUACCCUAAACUGAGGGAGCUCAUCAGGCUGAAGGAUGAGUUAAUAGCUAAAUCUAACACUCCUCCUAUGUACUUACAAGCAGAUAUAGAAGCCUUUGACAUCAGAGAACUAACACCCAAAUUUGAUGUGAUUCUUCUUGAACCCCCUUUAGAAGAAUAUUACAGAGAGACUGGCAUCACUGCUAAUGAAAAAUGCUGGACUUGGGAUGAUAUUAUGAAGUUAGAAAUUGAUGAGAUUGCAGCACCUCGAUCAUUUAUUUUUCUCUGGUGUGGUUCUGGAGAGGGAUUGGACCUUGGAAGAGUGUGUUUACGCAAGUGGGGUUACAGAAGAUGUGAAGAUAUUUGUUGGAUUAAAACCAAUAAAAACAAUCCUGGGAAGACUAAGACUUUAGAUCCAAAGGCUGUCUUCCAGAGAACAAAGGAACACUGCCUUAUGGGGAUCAAAGGAACUGUUAAGCGUAGCACAGACGGGGACUUCAUUCAUGCCAAUGUUGACAUUGACUUGAUUAUCACAGAAGAACCUGAAAUUGGCAAUAUAGAAAAGCCUGUAGAAAUUUUUCAUAUAAUUGAACAUUUUUGUCUUGGUAGAAGACGUCUUCAUCUAUUUGGAAGAGAUAGUACAAUUCGACCAGGCUGGCUUACAGUUGGACCAACUCUCACAAAUAGCAACUACAAUGCAGAAACAUAUGCAUCCUACUUCAGUGCCCCGAAUUCCUACUUGACUGGAUGUACAGAAGAAAUUGAGAGACUUCGACCAAAAUCACCUCCUCCCAAAUCUAAAUCUGAUCGGGGAGGUGGAGCUCCCAGAGGAGGAGGAAGGGGUGGAACUUCUGCUGGCCGUGGGCGAGAAAGAAAUCGAUCUAACUUCCGAGGAGAAAGAGAACAGAAAAGGAGAGGAGGUGAUGAUGUCAGCUACAGUAGAGUUUGUGGUGGGGAAUAUCAUACCCAAACACUGCUGAACGAGAUUAGACCAAGGAAUUGUGGAGAUGUCAAAGUGUAGAACGAGACAGCGCUGUGCAAGAGGUGUCAAGCUGGGAAGCAGGGGAUCAAGCAUGGAGCCUGGCUUGGCAGCCAGGUCGCAUAUCCAGAGUUGGAGUGGAUCAGUACUGCACCAGCAAUAAGCUGCUGAUACUUUGCUCCUCUCUAAGAAAAUCAGAGCAGUACAGAACAUCUUAAUAAAUAGCCACUGACUUGAUCUCAGGGCCAUGGAGACCUGAUGGAGAGCUGAGGAGACAGCUCACGCCCUGGGUAAGGUGGACAUCACUACUCAGCUCCAACUAAUUGUCACCAUAGAGGGAAGAUGGAGCUGUCGGAAAACCAUUUCUGGCUGUUCUCCCUGCUUUACUAUCAUGAGCUGGGGAAGAAAACAAGGAAUUCAGAGUAGAUGAUCAGAAUGGUCAGAAUUUGCUAUCUGUUGAGCCACCAGUGUGGUUCACGGAGACACACAUACACAACACUGUCUCCACCUGCCUCCUGUAAAAUUAAGAAGAGCCAGGGCAUCGUCUUUACUUCCUUUCACGUGGUGAAAGCACCCAGAGGCCUGCAGCUACCCCAGCAUCACACCAGCUGCAGCGAGGAAGGUAUGCUACGUAUCGGCUGGGGGGGCCUAGCCCUCCGUGCUGCUGCUCUGUAUGCUUUGUUUGUUAUCAAGUAGAAUUAUGCUGUCCACACAGCUUGCUUUUUUUCCUUUAUGUUAUUUCGGCUGGGGCCUUAAGCUGAUAAACUUUGAACUAUCUCUGAACUAAUAAUAAUAACUGCUGCUACCAUUACAAGCCAGCUACUUCCAUGUGGAUAUGGACACAUGAGGUCUCGGCUCGUCAGUGCCAGGCCCUGGGAGCUGACACUGGAACAGCUGUGUGGAUAGUCAUAUUCCAAUCUGACGUGGGGAAAGAAACUAACCCCUUCAUGGAAACAUCUCCAACGGAGUUUAAGAUGUGCAUCUGGUGAGCCUGAAACCAAGGUGAUUUUCUCUUUACUUGUGUUUUCUCCGCCUCUCCCUGGAUGCCGCUAGGACUCUGCCGUUGUCCAUUAUCGGCGAUAGCAGUGUGGGUCUGCCUCCAGUGACACAACUCAGUCUGAGACUGGGCAGAAUAAAAACACUGUGGCGGGAAGGAUUCGCGUCCCCGGUUUCCUUAGAAUUUAAUUUCUCUAUGGGAAUUAAUGGAAGUUCAUACUGCUCAUCUAUGGGGUAUUUUCUGUUGCUGCCAUUCAUUUAGGUUAUUUAUUUUUUUGGUUUUCAUGUGGUGCUCACUUUAAAACCUCCUCUGAUGAAUGCAUCUGGCCAUGAUCUGAAGUGGGAAAUAGAACAGGGAAUGAAUUUCAGCCUUGGGAGAAACUCAACUUUAAGGGAACAGAUAAAUGAUGGCAGUCAUUAGGAUGGCCCAGAGAGAGUACGCUGAAUGAGAGUUGAAGAGAGCCAUGAAUACUGCUUAGGAGAACAGCAACUCUCUUUAAGCGGCAGGUGAAUGAAGAGAAACCAAAAGAAAAAGGUCAGUGAGAAAGGAGAAGAAUCAGAAGAGUAUGAUGUCUUGAAAGAGACGAGAAAUUUGCUGACAGAAGAGAAAAUUGAGGAAAGAAGUAGUAUUCGAUCUUAUAAAUUCUGUAAGGGAUUGAGAAUAAACUGUCUUUAGCAAUUUGACAGUUCACAGAAGACUGGAGAGAUGGGAAUAAGGAAAUACAAGCAGUUUACAUAUGAUGACUUUUCAGGAAGCAUGGUGGGAAAAUGCCUGCUGUGUUGCUAGUGUUCAGUACAAGUUUGUGGGAUAAAAUGAAAGGAAAAGGAAGCAGAAUCUUGGAGAAGCAGCAGCUUCAAAGAAGGUAGAUUGAACAGCUUGUAAAGAAGCCAAUGAGGAAGGAGUAAUCUGGAAAACACAAAAGGAAGAAAAGAUAACUUGGAGCCUGGAGAACUGUGAGCAGGGCAGGACCAGAAUUGAUCAGUAAGGCAUUUGAGUUAUGUACUCUGGGAAUACACUGUGAUAGAAAUCUUUUUUUCUUCCCCCACAAAUGUAAGACUGUACCAACAGUGGGGUCUGAGAGGGCUGAUUCUCUGAAAAACUAAUUAGCAUAUAGCAUAACCUACAAGGUAGCAGUGCCUCCUGGAUUUGAUUUUGUUAUCCUUGACCCUUCUGUUGUAGCUUUCGCCUCCUAGUCAAUCUUGACUGUUUCAAAGAGAUUUAAAGACUCCUUAAAUGUGUUUUCAUUUCCUUUGUGUGGUCCAUUUUCAAAUGUUGGAGAAAAAGAUGUAAAACUAAGGGCACUGGACUAAACAACCAGGGCUAGACCUGUGUCUGUUGUGACCUAGCUGUGCAAUCCUGACCAAGUGAGUGAACUCCUUUGAGCCUCACUUUCUUAUCUGCUAAAUGGUGAUGGACGGGGGCAGCUGAAAGGCUAGGGGUGGACCAGGUAUCUCCUAGAUCCCCUUAGGUCUUACAUCUCUGGAUUUUAGAUUUUCAAAUUCUUUAUACAGAUGAUACCCCGAAAAUGUCAAGGGGAUUUUACAAACAACAGAUAAGUUUGCAAGUGGCACAUAAAAAAAUCUGAUUAACUAUUCAAACUAAAAUUAUUUUAUUAUGUAAUUGUUAAUGUUUUAUUUACAUAUCAUAUUUGGAGCUUACCCCAGAUAUUUUAAUAACCAAAGCUGACAUAUCCUUGAUAAGGGGUUAUUGGAGCAGGUGGGAGAAAGCAGAGGAGAGGAAAGGGCUUCUUUCCCCCUGGGAGGAGGGGCUCCUGAGCACAAGGAUGAUCCCCAUGUUUAGUGUGGCCUCUUCUGUGCAGGUGGGGCCAGAUGCAGCUGCUGCUGCUGAGACAAAGGUGGACCAUCCUUGCUGUGCAUUCUGAAAACCAGUGGUCUUCAAUUUGUGUUUGAUAAGACCCUAAGAUUUCACUACGUGUCUCUAGGGUGUUCAGAGAGUGUUGUGUGAAGAACAUGUUUAGUUUGAGCCUUCUCUGCCAUCUCUAGGUCCUGUCCUAAAACUGAACCCACGUAGUGAUGUAAAACAGUUCUGGAAAGGUUUUAUGUUCACCCAGAUGUCCUAGAGAUUAUAAAGCUCUUUAUUAGUUCAGUUUUCUUAAGUUCUACCUAAAGUUGAUGUUUGCAUGCGUGAGUACUGAUGGCAAAGAAUGUUGAUAUAAACUGAUAUCACAUUUACGUUUCAGUGGGAAAAUAGUCCCAUAAUACCCUGGCUCUUGUAGAGGCUCUUGUAUAGGCUCAGGUAAGUAUCCUGCACCUCUUAAGUAGUACAGUAAUAGACCACCGUCAUCUGUACAUUCCACAUUCCAGGAGACUCUAAUAUUGAGCUCGAGAAGGAAGACAGAGGUGAGUACUUGGGACUUAGCAACAAGGCAUACUUUUCCUGAGCUGUAGACAUUUUUAACUCUUUUACUAAAACUCGAAAAGGAGUCCUUAGAAGCACUAGAAAAACUAAACUUUUCAGAGAAAAUAAAUCAAAAACUGUAAAAUUCAAAUAUAACAAAUGUUCUGAUACUUCUAUAAUUAAUUUUAAACACUGAAAGAAAAGUCAUUUCAAAGCCUGUUAAUGUCAGUUGUUUCUAAGUUAAUUCUUAGUAAGAUAACCCAUGGUUAACCCAUGGUGAUAGCUGUUUAUUUUUGUACAUUUGUGAUUAACAGGUAGGUAGAUAUACUUAUAGGUUAAUGUGAGUUUUCUAUCAAAAAAUAAAGUUAUAAAAAUACAGGACAUGCAUUUUAAAAGCCUGUAAGGAAAUUAUAAACAAAACAAAAAAAAAAGAUUUGAAAAAAGAUCUCAUUCUUACCUUCAUUGAAUAUGGUCGCUUUUGUUGGAUGACACCCAUUAUCAUUCUGAGUGUUUGUGAGUAUGGGUUUCCCAGCUCAGGCAAUAAUGUCUAAAUUUAAGAAAAAUCAAAGUUUAAGUUUCAGUAUAAUUUCUGACCUUUAGAUAGAAGCAGAAUGAGAUUAUUAGAAUGUUAAAGUUAAAAAAACAUGCUUCUAAACCGUAUACUCAACUGUUGGCUUAGUUCAUUUACCUAAAAACCAAAAAUUUGAAAAAAUGUACUAAAAAUUGUUGAUACGCAUCAGCAUGCAUUUCCACCAGUGAACCCGCUUUUCAAAAUAAAAAUCCUUCCCUGGAAUCUGAUGCAUGUAUAUCACUGAAAUGACACAAAGGGUGUGUGUUUCUUUGGCAAAGGAUGUGUCUGGCCCAUUCACCAUCAUUUUAAUCCCUUUGCAAGAUGGGUGUUUCAAGGCUAUGUUGUGCGAAAAAGGAUACAUUUUAUUCCUUCAGUGGAUCAGUUGCAGGACCCUGAGGCACCACCCCAUUUGGAAAAUGCCAUCCACAUACCACUCUUCCAACAUUAUUUCUCAAAGGGAAUGUGGCCUCUUAGAUUUCCCUGAAAUCUGUUUAGUGGUAUACAAAAGGUAACUACCCAGCUGCAUGUGACCCCUGGGGGGUGUGCAAGAUCUGUACUUAGAUAUCUUCCAUUAAGACAGUAAAAGGCUAGUGUUUACUUCUGAGCAAGAAGAUACCAAGAGCUAAUACAUCAUCUUUGAGUUAGCUACUGAAAAAGUGAAUUAGAAUAUUUUACCACAGUCACAAAUCUCAGGAAAAGAUCAUGGCCAUUGUUUUCCACAGGAGUUGUAAAAAAAAAAAGGGGGGGGGGGGCCAGGAAAUACAUUAUUAAUAUUCACAUUCCACUCCCUUUGUGUAUUCUUUGACAUUAUUAAGAUCUCUUUAUUAAAAAAAAGAUAAAGUAUACUUCAUAUAUAUGUCUCAACGUGCCAACUGCCUCUAAAAAGAAAGCAACAUUUGAUUUUUGUUUUAUGUUUUGAAGAAGGUUGAGAAGAGGUAUGCUGACGUAAGCACAAACCAAGCAAUCUGCCGCUUUGUGGUAGAGAGACUGCCCACUUCAUAUGUAUAUGCAAGUCAACAAAUAUGCACUAACAUUUACUUUAUCAAUACACUGUGAAGUAAGAGGAGGCCUCCUUAAAUUUUAUAUAAACAUUCUUCACACUCAUAGUUCUUUGCCCACUGAAUUUUAAUUUUUUAUUUUUUAAAAACUGCAUUUCUAAUCCUUAAUUUCAACCACAUGCAGACAUCUUACUAUUUCUAAAUCUUCAUCUUAAAACUAGUCUCUUAAUGGGAUAUGGACACCUUCAGUUCCCUUGAAAAUAUUUUUUUGACAUUCAUAAUGGAUAUGCAGCUCUCUAAACUGACCACCCAUCUAUUUAGCCUGAAAUUUUAAUCCUGCCCCCUCCUCCAAGAUGCUGUGUAUCUACCUUCAUACCAUCUUGCCAUAACACACAUGAGCACUCAGGGAACAAACUAUCUUCUGAGUUCUACAUGUGAAUUCAUAAGGAAUCCACUGUCAAGCAGAGUAAGGCAACAACCACCACAGUAGUGGUCCUCACACAAUGGUCUGCAAAAAAGGUAUGCGGUGUUGACUCUCAAACAAAUUAUAAUUGCUGGUUUUCCUAAUAUACUUUAAAAAUAAAGUCAUUUGUAUUCAUUCCACAUCAAACCUACAGUCUCUUUUGGAAUAAGUGAAACGGGUGCGUAAUCUGUUUUUGUGGGGUUAUUAUAGCUAAAUAUGUAUGAAAGAUUCUGGCAUCCUUUUGAAUAUGCAGUUCAGCAGCAGGGAUGAGCCCAGAGCAUAAGAACCAAAUUCACUCCCCACCUCUGCCACUUACUGCUGAGAGAACUUGUCUCUAAGCCUCAUUUGAUACAUAUGUGAUUGACAACCAGUAAUGACAGUAAAUGAUCUGGAAGUGUUGACAAUCUCUCUCUCUUUCUCUCUCUCUCUCCUGGCCACGCCCCACGGCUACAGGAUGUUAGUUCCUCGACCAGGAAUCGAACCCAGGCCAUGGCAAUGAAAGCGCCAAGUCCUAACCACUGGACCGCCAGGGAAGUCACAAGACAGUCUCUAUUAAAGUCAUACAUUUUGGUUAUUGGAUUAUACUUUUUUUUUAAGAACUUUUAUUGAGAUACAAUUGACAUACAAUAAACUGCAUAUAUUUAAAGU